CGAGGGGAGGGCGCCGCCGACCCGAGUGGGGUGCAGGCCGUCAGGGGUGCUGGCUGUGAAGAGCGGUCUGUGCCCCACAACUCCCGGCAGCCGGCUGCGUUAAACCAUGAGCUGCAUCCAGUCUUUUAGGAGCCUGGGGAGCCCAAGAUCAAGGUGUCAGCAGAUUUGGUGUCUGAAUCCGAGAGUCUUCUGAGACUGGAGCCUUUUCCUAUCAUACCAUCCAGCUAACACCAGCUCUCAAGAAGUAUGAUUUCAUUACUACAUCUAAAACCAACAGCUUUAUUGGAAAAUCAGAGCAAAGCCCCUCUGCCCCCUCGGUUCUGGUAGCAUCGGCGUCAGGCUCUGAGCAUCCGCUAGAAGUUCAACAUGGACAACAUCAGACUAAAAUCAAGAUAUUAUCAGGGCUUUAUUCCUUUCCGGAGGCUCUGGGGAAGAAUCUGUUUCCUAGUCUUUUCCAGCUUCUGCAGGACGCCUGCAUUCCUUGGCUCAUUCACCCUGCUUCCAUCUUCAAAGCCAGUAAUGGUGAGUUGAGUCCUCUUUACAUUACACCUUUCUGAUUCUCCAUAGUCACAUCUCCCUGAUCUCAACUGCUUUUAAGAAUUCAUGGGAUUAUUUGGAGUUCCCGUGGUGGCACAGUGGUUAACGAAUCUGACUGGGAAC